rnacentral:rRNA from 1 species
GAUCCUGGCUUAGAUUGAACGCUGGCGGCGUGCUUAACACAUGCAAGUCGCGCGUGAAAGGACUUCGGUCCGAGUAAAGCGGCGCACGGGUGAGUAACGCGUGGAUGAUCUACCCAUGAGUUAGGAAUAACGGCUGGAAACGGUCGCUAAUACCAAAUACGCUCCGAUUUCAACUUCGGGGGAAAGGUGGCCUCUGCUUGCAAGCUACUGCUCAUGGAUGAGUCCGCGUCCCAUUAGCUAGUUGGUGGGGUAACGGCCCACCAAGGCGACGAUGGGUAGCCGGUCUGAGAGGAUGACCGGCCACACUGGGACUGGAACACGGCCCAGACUCCUACGGGAGGCAGCAGUGGGGAAUAUUGCGCAAUGGGCGAAAGCCUGACGCAGCGACGCCGCGUGAGGGGAAUGAAGGUCCUCGGAUCGUAAACCUCUGUCAGGAGGGAAGAACCGCCACGGUGCUAAUCAGCCGUGGUCUGACGGUACCUCCAAAGGAAGCACCGGCUAACUCCGUGCCAGCCGCGGC